AAAGCCUGAUCCAGCCAUGCCGCGUGUGUGAAGAAGGUCUUCGGAUUGUAAAGCACUUUAAGUUGGGAGGAAGGGCUGCAAGUUAAUACCUUGUAGUUUUGACGGUAACCGUAGAAGAAGCCCCGGCUAACUUCGUGCCAGCAGCCGCGGUAAUACGAAGGGGGCUAGCGUUGUUCGGAAUUACUGGGCGUAAAGCGCACGUAGGCGGAUCGAUCAGUUAGGGGUGAAAUCCCAGGGCUCAACCCUGGAACUGCCUCUAAUACUGUCGAUCUCGAGUUCGAGAGAGGUGAGUGGAAUUCCGAGUGUAGAGGUGAAAUUCGUAGAUAUUCGGAGGAACACCAGUGGCGAAGGCGGCUCACUGGCUCGAUACUGACGCUGAGGUGCGAAAGCGUGGGGAGCAAACA
rnacentral:rRNA from 1 species